AAAAAAUGACAGGUUGAAGAGAGGUGAUUAGUCAGCAAGAGUUUCAGGCGGCAACGGUGUGCAGAUACGACAUAAGGUGGAGAUGAGGCACCCUUCAGAAUCCUGCAUUGAUUCCCUCUGUUCCAAUAGGACUCACCACCCCACAAAAUAAAUGUACACAGGCGUACUUCAGACCAGACCUUCAGGAUCAGCUCCCAUCUCCCUGGAUAUGUCUGGGGAGCUUGGGGUGCUUCAACAUUGAAAUGACUUUGACAUGUCCUAAGAGGGACUGUGGCACCCAGAGAUCACCGGGUUCUUUCCAGACAGCUGCUUUUCCCCAGCCAGGUUCAGGAAGGAGUUGUGUGCAACCAACAACGCUACAGUCAAAACAGUCUGAAGGGCGUUUAGUACUACCAGAGAUGAAAAGUGAAGCGUUCAAGAAAGUGUGAUUCUGACCCACCCUCCUGAUUGAAAUGACAUUAUUUAUUUAGCUCAUUAAAUGGUACUAGUAUUUUUCUCAUAAAAUACAUUUGUACACGGUCAGGUAUAUGCCUGAUGUUUAUGCAGUGCUUCCAUGCGUAUAAAGUCCCUCUUGGCAGUAGGCUGUUGAAUAGCUUUCUUGAGCAAUGAACUUAGCCAAACCUUUUUUUUCCAGCAGCCUCUACACAUAUCUUGAUAUGGGGACCAGGUUGAGACAUUCCUAAGGAAGAAAUGACAUGAAAUGCUCAAUGCAGUAGCCACAGUGGCAUGGUUCAUUCCAUGUUAGUGAACUGCCUAUCUGCCUCAUGCUACCAGCCAACAACAAGUUGUCAGCCUCUCCAGAUGAAGUGAAUUGCAGAUCUACAAGUUGGCCAGUUUACCCAGCUUUGGUUCUCAGCAGAGUACCAAGCUGCUCGUGCCUUACAUACAGCCUUUAAUCCUUUCUGGGAUGAGGUCCUCUGAUGCUGACGAUGGAGACAAGGAUUUGGAGAUAGCAACAAACAAAAAGGAGACUUCAUUUCAUUGAUCAUGUUCGGUGUGGAGAUUACUGAUGAAGAGUUUGAGCUGCUACUUGACAGAAUCCCCCUUGAUGAAGAUGGAAAUGUCACAUACCCCCGGUUCAUGGCCAGGUUUGAUUCCUGGUAUGCAGCAUAUGCAUUUUAUUCCUUAUUUAGGAAUAGAAUUAUUUUUAAGCUAAGAAGCUCACGUAACAUUUCCAAACUGAUUCUCAUUUCUUAAAUGUGCUCCUUUAUGACAUAUUUCUUGCAUGCAGUAUGCUGAUUACAUUUAAAAUUAGCUGAUGUUAUGGGUAUAUACUGUUUAUAACCUAGUUUCUUUUUAAAUGUUUUGCAUGUUUUAGAAGACUUCAAAGGUAUGUAGCAUACCUCCAUGGCUUUCUGUAGUCUGGGAAAUAUGAAAGACUUCUAAAUAAAAGCUAAUUAUUUAAAAAAUAAUUUUAAAAG
rnacentral:lncRNA from 1 species